rnacentral:rRNA from 1 species
UCUACGGGUGGCUGCAGUGGGGGAUAUUGGACAAUGGGGGGAACCCUGAUCCAGCGACGCCGCGUGAGUGAAGAAGUAUUUCGGUAUGUAAAGCUCUGUCAGCAGGGAAGAAAAUGACGGUACCUGACUAAGAAGCCCCGGCUAACUCCGUGACAGCAGCCGCGGUAAUACGUAGGGGGCAAGCGUUAUCCGGAUUUACUGGGUGUAAAGGGGGCGUAGACGGUGCGGCAAGUCUGAUGUGAAAGGUCGGGGCCCAACCCCGGGACUACAUUGGAAACUGUUGAACUGGAGUACAGGAGAGGUAAGGGGAAUUCCUAGGGGAGCGGUGAAAUGCGUAGAUAUUAGGAGGAACACCAGUGGCGAAGGCGGCUUACUGGACUGUAACUGACGUUGAGGCUCGAAAGCGUGGGGAGCAAACAGGAUUAGAUACCCGUGUAGUC